ACGGCUCAGUAACACGUGGACAACCUACCCUUAGGUCAGGUAUAACCCCGGGAAACUGGGAAUAAUACCGGAUAUUGGGCGGAGGCUGGAAUGCACCGCCCAAGAAAGCUCCGGCGCCUAAGGAUGGGUCUGCGGCCUAUCAGGGUAGUAGUGGGUGUAACGUACCUACUAGCCUACGACGGGUACGGGUUGUGAGAGCAAGAGCCCGGAGAUGGAUUCUGAGACACGAAUCCAGGCCCUACGGGGUGCAGCAGGCGCGAAAACUUUACAAUGCCGGCAACGGCGAUAAGGGGACCUCGAGUGCCAGGAUACAAUCCUGGCUGUCGUAAUGCCUAAAAAGCAUUGCAUAGCAAGGGCCGGGCAAGACCGGUGCCAGCCGCCGCGGUAACACCGGCGGCUCGAGUGGUAACCGUUAUUAUUGGGUCUAAAGGGUCUGUAGCCGGCUGGAUAAGUCUCUUGGGAAAUCCGGCAGCUCAACUGUCGGGCUUUCAGGAGAUACUGUCCGGCUCGAGACCGGGAGAGGUGAGAGGUACUUCAGGGGUAGGGGUGAAAUCUUGUAAUCCUUGAAGGACCACCAGUGGCGAAGGCGUCUCACCAGAACGGAUCUGACGGCAAGGGACGAAAGCUAGGGGCACGAACCGGAUUAGAUACCCGGGUAGUCCUAGCCGUAAACGAUACUCGCUAGGUGUCGGCCACGGUGCGACCGUGGUCGGUGCCGUAGGGAAGCCGUGAAGCGAGCCACCUGGGAAGUACGGCCGCAAGGCUGAAACUUAAAGGAAUUGGCGGGGGAGCAC
rnacentral:rRNA from 1 species